rnacentral:sRNA from 14 species
UUUAAUGUCUGGGGAAUCACAUUACUUUGGCUUAUUCACUGAACAGCUACAGCCCCAGCACUGACAGUAGAAAUUCCUCUAUAGCAUCCUGUUAAUGCACUUCAAUCCUGACCUGAAAGAACCUUUAUGGUUGACAGGAUAGUUUAAUUUUCAUGCCCAUUCACUCUUUGGCCUUU